AGAGGGAGUUUUUCACAUGUCAACAGUCUAGCCGCUCUGUAAUUAACAGUACUCUUUGGCGGUAUUUUUUGAAUUUAGAUUAAUACUUUUGAGUGUAAAAAGUCUCGAUUUUCUUAAACAAUUAUAAGCAGAAAAUGGAUAAAAAGCUAGUUCAAUUUAGACUGGUGGAGAAUUAGAAAACUUUCUUGAUAAUGUGAAAGAAGUACUGUACCAGUAAAUAUAAAACUAAUUUAUUCUAUGAAUAACUGAUAAGAAAUUAUUGGUCGUAAACCUGCUGAUGAGGAACCAACAGGUCCAAAACACAAUGAUAUCAUGUAACAUGUGUUCAGGUGAAAAAUAAAGACAGUUUUUUCAAGACCAGUUUUUCAUUAUAUUGGUUCAAAUUAAAGUACACAUGAAUCAUCAACCAGGUUCACUUGGAGCAUUAUGCUUGGAAUUACUGGGAACUCUUAGAAGAGUUUUAAUUAACACAACAGUCAGAUAUUAGAUUAUUGUAUGAGAGCCUUCAUGUAUCUGCAGAAAUCUGCAAUUAUCUGAUGCUAUCUUUGAACUUCUAACACAAACAUCUUUCAACUGUAACACUGUGUUGAGUAAAAGCUGUUUACAAAAACCUUUAUCAGUGUUGUGUUUGUUACAAAUAUCCACUAACAUUUUCGACAUCCACCGAGGUCUUCUUCAGGUGGUGAGUAAGCGUUGUUUCCCUUGACCGUUAGAACGAUGCCUCUUUUUAUACCUGAGAUGUAAAUAUUGUGUGAAUCACGUUUCACCCAUCCGCUUGUCCCCGUUUGAAUUCUUUGAAUAGGUAUCUCCACACCUCCACGAUCGUCUCUCCGUCUUUAAAGUUGAUACAGGUGCCCUCAA